rnacentral:rRNA from 1 species
GACAGAGGGUGCAAACGUUGUUCGGAAUUACUGGGCGUAAAGCGAGUGUAGGCGGUUCGCUAAGUCGGGUGUGAAAGCCCCAGGCUCAACCUGGGAAGUGCACUCGAAACUGGCGGGCUAGAGUAUCGGAGAGGUUGGUGGAAUUCUCGGUGUAGAGGUGAAAUUCGUAGAUAUCGAGAGGAACACCGGUGGCGAAGGCGGCCAACUGGACGAAUACUGACGCUGAGACUCGAAAGCGUGGGG